rnacentral:rRNA from 1 species
UGGGGAAUUUUGGACAAUGGGCGCAAGCCUGAUCCAGCCAUGCCGCGUGCGGGAAGAAGGCCUUCGGGUUGUAAACCGCUUUUGUCGGGGAAGAAAAGCCUUGGGUUAAUACCCUGGGGUGAUGACGGUACCCGAAGAAUAAGCACCGGCUAACUACGUGCCAGCAGCCGCGGUAAUACGUAGGGUGCAAGCGUUAAUCGGAAUUACUGGGCGUAAAGCGUGCGCAGGCGGUUGUGUAAGACAGAUGUGAAAUCCCCGGGCUCAACCUGGGACCUGCAUUUGUGACUGCAUAGCUAGAGUACGGCAGAGGGGGAUGGAAUUCCGCGUGUAGCAGUGAAAUGCGUAGAUAUGCGGAGGAACACCAGUGGCGAAGGCGACCACCUGGACUGAUACUGACACUGAGGUGCGAAAGCGUGGGGAGCAAACA